CUGAUUCACAGCAUGCUCUAUGUUUAGCAGCGCUCUGAGAAGGAUUCCAGUCUGCCUUUAGCCCUAAAUAGCUACAAAUAUCGGAGUAGCAGCAGCAGCCCUUCAAAGGCCUUUUUAGGAAGAUUCACACCAGGGAUGGGAAUGACACACAGGAGCCUCAGGUAGGGCAAUGGAGAAAAGAAACUCAGGAUUGCUCAAAACACAGCCACCCAUACCUGAUGCUCAACACGCAGCCAGGCACACCGGAUGCCAGAAAGGUGCAGCCCAGCUGCUUAAUCUGGCAUUGAUAAUCACCAGUGUCUCUGAAUUGAAUCCAGCCAGUGAAAGUCAGAGCCAGAAAACAUUAAAGCAUCAUCCAGGAUACAGGCUUCUCCAUCUUAGACUGAAGGGCAGCCUUUUAAAACAGUCCUGGUUCCUCCGAGGGGCCUUUAGGGAAGCGAACUCCCAGGUGCUUUGUGACCUUUCCCGAGAAGACAUCAAGAAGUGACUGUUCACCCCGAAAGGGCAGCAGCAGAUCCAGGACUCUGUCCGAAAUCAUCUUGGGGCUGGGAUCACUUAUAAGAUGGCAAGUGACUCAGAGUCAGCAUCAUGUCACCCUGGGAGCUCAUCAGGGCAGUGACAGGCAGCCACACCAGUGAAGGGUCCUGUGUAAUAUUAAGUGCUCUUGAACAGCUACAGCACCGAAAAACCCCUGGACAAAUGACAAGCAG
rnacentral:lncRNA from 1 species